rnacentral:rRNA from 1 species
UACGUAGGGUGCAAGCGUUGUCCGGAAUUAUUGGGCGUAAAGAGCUCGUAGGCGGUCUGUCGCGUCUGCUGUGAAAACCUAGGGCUUAACUCUGGGCGUGCAGUGGGUACGGGCAGGCUAGAGUGCGGUAGGGGAGACUGGAAUUCCUGGUGUAGCGGUGAAAUGCGCAGAUAUCAGGAAGAACACCGGUGGCGAAGGCGGCUCUCUGGGCCUUACCUGACGCUGAGGAGCGAAAGCGUGGGGAGCGAACAGG